UCCAUGUGUUUAUGUUGUUGUUCGACGCCGACUGUCACCCGAUUGACAAGUGAAAAACUCUUCUGUACCUUUUUUUCUAAACUGUCGGCAGUAUCAGCAGAUUUUAAUGUUGGUUGGACGCACUCCUGUUGAAAAUUUUACUUGGAGGCUUAAAGAUAUAUGAAGAGUGACUAGUCUGAACCGUUUUCCAUGAAAUUUUCAUCACCUCGAGGUAUUGCAUCAGAUUUCAUGUGGAAUAUAAAGAUUGUAUCUCAACAUCUAUAGAAGUCAGCAAUGAAGGUGUCAGAAGUGAUGUACUGUAGCUUUCCGGUCUGGUAUCCCAAAUUCAAACAUAUUUCUAUCAAGAGUAUUGUGAUACCACUACCUGCAGAAUUUUUGGAAUACUUACACACAGAUGGAGUUGUGUUGCCAGAAGGG